rnacentral:pre_miRNA from 1 species
GAGACACCCUUAUGGGGCAGGACUUGCUUCAGUGGGGCUCUGGGGCACACUGAGUCUGCCCCUUAAGUGUGUCUCU